AUCUGUGCGCUUGGGGCAAUGACGCAGCUAGUGAGGUUAUACCGAGGCGCGUCAAUUGCUGGUUGAAAACUACUCCCUCCGUUGUUAAAUACUUGUCGCUGUUUUAGUGUAAACUUGCCUAAAACAAUGACAAGUAUUUAGGAACGGAGGGAAUAUUUAAAAAAAA
rfam:Brachypodium distachyon strain Bd21 chromosome 3, whole genome shotgun sequence.